ACAGACAAAUGCCAAAGGAGGUGUUGCCGCGUGGCCAGAUGUACCCAAACCAGGUGCUACACUGGGCAAUCUUACGCCUGCCGAUAGGCAUGGUUCUGUACAGGUUGUGAGUUCGACAAAUGGCGAAUUAAAUGCGGACGAUCCCACUGCUGGUCACUCAAAUACUCCCAUAACGCAACAGCCUGAAGUUGAAUUAGUCGAUGAAACAAAAUGUUGUUGUUUCUUUAAACGAAAGAAGAAGAAAUCAUCGCGUCAAAAAUGACUAGAUGGUGUUCAAUGUAGUCCAGAACGCGAAGCAGUUACAUUGCUACGCGCCACUUCACAUUCAAAUUCAAGGGAUAGCGUUCUAAAUAAUCCAAGUCAGGAUUAUAUACAACAGGCAACGUCACAACAUACGUUGCGUUAUCCUCCAUCCGCGUCAAUGCUGACGCCUACACCAACUACUAAUACACCGACACUUCCGUUGUAAUUUAAAAACAUUUAAAGUUAAACAAACAAAACAAAAAAAAAACAUUAAAAAAUCCAUAAAAAAAUAAAAAUUAUAUUAUACAUACAUUA